rnacentral:rRNA from 1 species
UACGUAGGGUGCAAGCGUUGUCCGGAAUUACUGGGCGUAAAGAGCUCGUAGGUGGUUUGUCGCGUCGUCUGUGAAAUCCCGGGGCUUAACUCCGGGCGUGCAGGCGAUACGGGCAUAACUUGAGUGCUGUAGGGGAGACUGGAAUUCCUGGUGUAGCGGUGAAAAGCGCAGAUAUCAGGAGGAACACCGAUGGCGAAGGCAGGUCUCUGGGCAGUUACUGACGCUGAGGAGCGAAAGCAUGGGUAGCGAACAGG